CGCGUAGGCGGACAUUUAAGUCGGGGGUGAAAGCCCGGGGCUCAACCCCGGAAUUGCCUCCGAUACUGGGUGUCUCGAGACCGGAAGAGGUGAGUGGAACUGCGAGUGUAGAGGUGAAAUUCGUAGAUAUUCGCAAGAACACCAGUGGCGAAGGCGGCUCACUGGUCCGGAUCUGACGCUGAGGCGCGAAAGCGUGGGGAGCAAACA
rnacentral:rRNA from 1 species